CAGUGGUGGGAUCACGAUCAGUAGAAUGGUAGAAUGCUGACGUCACAAAAAUAAUUCUACAAUCGACAAUUUUGGUAUCACGUUAACACGCUUGGGAAAGUAGAAUCGGUGCUCGGCAAUGUUCGGAUAUUCUACUAGCCAUGUUAAAAAUAUCGCUUCUUCUUCUUAAAAAUAUUGCUGUUUGACGUGUGGUUGUCUUUAUUUUGUGGUGGUUGUAUUCAAAAAGCUAACCUAAAGAAAGAUUAUAAUUUGUGAUUAUUUUCAAUUUGUAUAUUUUUGUCUUGGGUUGUUUGGAACUAUUUUAUUAGAAAUCACUAAAUUUUUAAAUUUUACCUGUGACUAGAGAACAUUGUUAUAUUAAGGUAUUUUUAUUCUUGGUAUGAAACAAUGUUAAGACAAUACUGUGUGCUUUUUCAGUCCUAUGAAAGAAAAUGUUUUGGAUGUAAUAGAGAAGUACUACAACUUUGUUAUGAAGAUUUGUCUUUAUGUUAUUUUUAUAAUGUUCAUGGAUUAUAUUUGUUUUUAUGUUUUCUUCAGUUUAAAUAAAGUUUAUGUUUUACCCA
rnacentral:lncRNA from 1 species